rnacentral:rRNA from 1 species
UACAGAGGUCUCAAGCGUUGUUCGGAUUCAUUGGGCGUAAAGGGUGUGUAGGUGGCUUUGCAAGUCAGAUGUGAAAUGCCACGGCUUAACCGUGGGACUGCAUUUGAAACUGUGUAGCUUGAGUACAGGAGAGGAAAGUGGAAUUCCCAGUGUAGCGGUGAAAUGCGUAGAUAUUGGGAGGAACACCAGUGGCGAAGGCGACUUUCUGGACUGUAACUGACGCUGAGGCGCGAAAGCGUGGGGAGCAAACAGG